GUGGGUAUAGCUCAGUGGUAGAGUGAGUGUUUAGCAUGCACAAGAUCCUAGGUUCAAUCCCCGGUACCUCCA
rnacentral:tRNA from 1 species